rnacentral:lncRNA from 1 species
UUCUUUGUAAAUACUAAAUAGUAACUGGAUUUUUUCGAAUUAAAAUCAUUUUUUUGCAAAUAGAAAAUUAAAAUCUGUUAAUAUUUUUAAAGUGAACAGGCUUGCGAAAUGAAUUGGGCUUUAAAAAGAGGCCCAGCAUUAUUUGGUUUAGUUAAGGCUUCAUAAACUGGAUUGAACUCUUUAAUUUCAGUUUCUGAAUACAAGAGGCAAUGAUGGGGCUUUCGAAUUUUAGAGCACUAUACAAUGCGAUAUAAAAUUGCAAUUUUCAAAUCAGGAAA